rnacentral:rRNA from 1 species
GAUGAACGCUGGCGGCGUGCCUAACACAUGCAAGUCGAACGAAGCACCUUACCUGAUUCUUCGGAUGAAAGUUUGGUGACUGAGUGGCGGACGGGUGAGUAACGCGUGGGUAACCUGCCCUGUACAGGGGGAUAACAGCUGGAAACGGCUGCUAAUACCGCAUAAGCGCACGAGGAGACAUCUCCUUGUGUGAAAAACUCCGGUGGUACAGGAUGGGCCCGCGUCUGAUUAGCUGGUUGGCAGGGUAACGGCCUACCAAGGCAACGAUCAGUAGCCGGUCUGAGAGGAUGAACGGCCACAUUGGAACUGAGACACGGUCCAAACUCCUACGGGAGGCAGCAGUGGGGAAUAUUGCACAAUGGGGGAAACCCUGAUGCAGCAACACCGCGUGAGUGAAGAAGUAUUUCGGUAUGUAAAGCUCUAUCAGCAGGGAAGAUAAUGACGGUACCUGACUAAGAAGCUCCGGCUAAAUACGUG